rnacentral:tRNA from 6 species
UAAAAAGUCCUUUAAACA